rnacentral:ncRNA from 2 species
UACUUAUCCAGAAAGACUGAGGGACUGGGCCCUACGACGUCUUGGCAACCUAAGCGAAACAAGGUGCCAACUCCCAUUCGGCCGAAAAAAACGACCGAAGAAGAUAAGUA